GAGGUUUCCUGGGUGCACAGGGAUGUCCAAAGUCAACCAAAAAACCCCGAGGAUGCUAGCUAGAUGCUCAGAAGCCAUCCGGUAUGCGUGGCUCCUUCAUAGCAGACGGCCUGACAGACCCCGUGCCAAUCAACCUUGGCCUUGAGGCCUCACGAAGUUCUUAAGCGCCCACCGCACCUGUCCUCUUUCCCCCCAUGCGGGGUGAGAUGGCCCGGGAAUGAGCCUUCCCAGCAGAAAAACUUACAUCUAGAAUGUCGAUCAUCACUGCUUUGAGAAGAGAAAAUUUUUGAUCAAACACGAGAAAUGAGAAAAGAAAAAUAGCCGGAGCUAUGUGGGAUUCUCAAAGAUUAUCUGGCCCAGAGACACCUGAGUACAGGGCCUCAGUCCCGCCUCCCCACUCACGCCCGGGGCAACUGCUGGAAGGCAUUUUGUUCUUUCUUUUCUUUCCUAUAGUGUCCGCCUGGCCGCCUCAGCGUCAUCUUCAUGUUCCUGGAAUUUGUGACAAAUAAUGUACACCAAUCAAUAGCUUAUGCCAUUUUAAUGCAAAUUCUUGGUGAAUUUAGGAGCUGCGUCUUCAUUUUUCCUUUAAAAACGCACUUGCAACUGCUGCGAAUGAGAGCGCGUGCAUUCAGA
rnacentral:lncRNA from 10 species